rnacentral:rRNA from 1 species
UACGAGGGGGGCGAGCGUUGUUCGGAAUUAUUGGGCGUAAAGGGUGCGUAGGCGGUUCCGCAAGUCCUGUGUGAAAUCUUCGGGCUCAACUCGAAGUCUGCACGGGAAACUGCGGGGCUUGAGUGUGGGAGAGGUGAGUGGAAUUCCCGGUGUAGCGGUGAAAUGCGUAGAUAUCGGAAGGAACACCGAUGGCGAAAGCAGCGUGCUGGACCUUUUCUGACGCUGAGGCGCGAAAGCCAGGGGAGCAAACGGG